AAUAGCAACCGGCUCACACUGUUGCUCUUCAGAAUCAGGGCUGGCUGGCUCCUCUGGAUGUACAACACCUAGUUAGCUCUGUCAACAGCUUGGAAACGGGCCAGUGGAACCUUCAGAACCCUGAGACAAUCCAGCCCUGUUACCGUGGUGACAGCUGGAGUAAUAGCAGGCGUCUGUGGCGGGAGCCGUGGAGAGAGGCCGCAGCGUCCCGGCUCCAAGCCCAGCCCCCCAGGACGACCGGGGGGGAAGGAGGAGGAGAGAGAGGCCGCGCAGAACCCGGGUCCAGUCCUGGCCCAGACUUAGAUGGCGACACUGUGAUGUGGUUGCCAUGGAUACCACAUUCCGCUGCUUCGGGAACUUCAAAGACCGUGGCGGAGCCCAGGAAAGGGUCCGGUCCCGGGGGACCGGGGCGUCAGAGGAGACCCUCGGCCACGGCGGAGGCAUCGCCAGACACUCGCGCGGAACUUGAAAAGAAAACGGAGGUUGAAAUCAUUUCUGUUUCAGGAAUUAUGGGGGCUGUUACAGAUCCUAAUCUUUCCGUUCCUCGCCGUUCCGCGGUGGUCUUCCUGGAACCCCGGACCCGAGAUGAAAGAUUUCCCGUGCGGCUCACAUGACCGUGACACAGGGAAAAGCUCUUGGGUCUCCUGUGGGCAAACUGGUCAUGCCUGAUUUGAGUGGAUCUGCAACCGCAGCUACGCUCAGCCUGAAAACCUCAAAAUUAUAUCCCAUUACACAGCCUUUCAGCUCGCAGCUGAUUGCAUGAAGGGCUUGAUUUCUCGCUCUGGUUCUCUCUCUCUUUCUCUCUCCCUUGCUUUCCCAAACACGCUCUCGCAGACAGAAAUACACACGUUCACACACCACCACACACGGAUAUACACACAGGUACACACACAGGCGGCACACUCCACGCACAUUGCACACACACACACACACACAGACACACAGACACACACACACACAGGGCAGAGCAUGAUUCUUUAUCCCCUAAGAAAUUCCGUUUCUCAGGGAAUGCAGCCAGGAUUUGACUGAAACGCCACCGCUGUAAUCUUCAGCACGUCCUGUUCCGGCAGCUUAAUCUUUAGCAUCUCGUAAAAUCUGAUGAAUUCAAAUCACAGCUGUGGCCGCGGAUUUUCCUUAAUCCCCUGGAAAAAUGUGGCACCUCCUUGUGCCGAAAACCGCCCCUCGGAAGAUCAGGUGUUUUCCCGGUCGGCCAAGCAGGCCAAGGUGGUGGGUGAUAAAGCACAUGGCCUCCCCCCCAUGACCCCAUCCAAUACCGCACGUCUCCCAAACAAACUACCAGUUGUUUUUAAAAAAUAAUAAUUAAAAAAAUAAAUUCACCAUAGUUAUCCAGUGCAAUUGAAGACGAGGAUAAAUAGGGCUAACUGUGGAGGAAAAUACAUUUGUGCUUAGAGAAUGCAAACGGCUAGUGAAAAAUUAGUGGGCCUUUUGUAAAAUAACAUGCACCAGGUAUGCCUUCUAGUUAUUGCCAAAAUAUUCCGGGCAUACUAUAAAUUGUAGCUGACCUUGCUUAAUUAACUGUUCUCGGACCAAGGCUGUGUCCUGUCUUUGCUACUUUAAUUCUGCGUGUGGUACUUUAUCAGCUGUACUCUGGGUGCGGGUGAAACUAUGGGUCUCACUUUAUGACGCAGAAGAGAAUACAUAAAUCUCACAGAUACCACACUUCUUCAGAAAACCCCAGCUGUAUUUCACUCCAUGAUGUCACGCAUUAAAGCUUGAUAGAAGUCUCCAUGUAGACCUGAAUGAUUCUUCGACACUAACCUUAUUUGAGCAGGUUCAGUUUUGUGGCUUUAAAAAUUAUCUGCCCUCCCACCCCCCAAAAACAAGUGUAACCAUUGUGUAAAUUGUGUAAAAUGCAAUCCAAAAAAAAAAAGCUUACAAAAAAAACCCCCAUGAGCAUUUGAGGUACAAGGCUAACAUGGGCUUCCUGUGAUGUUGUUCGGCGUGAAGGAGAAUGUAACAGGUGAAGAGAACCGUGUGAAAGGGCUGUUCACCCGCCACACCUGCCUCUUCGGUGAUGUCAUUCCGCGUUCACCAUCAGAUCUGCCCUCUCCGUGUGAAGCCGAGAUCCACCGCACCCCGCACUCUGCACAUUUCCCUGACUGGCCGCCAUUGCGCCCGCUCAGCCACAGUAUCGCGGAACACGUCCGUUUUGUUGUAAGAUUAACUGGUUUAGCUGUAAUUGAGAUCCUCUGUUAUACUGAAACUUCCUGAAAGAUCGCACGCAACCUAAGCCAUUGCCUCAACAGUCUCCGCCCCCUGAUUCCACCAAAAUCAACCACGGAUUUCACCCCAAGGUCUCUCGAUUUACUCAAUUCAGUCAGGUUGGGCUGUCGGGGAUAAAGAGACCAGUCUUGCCCGAGUUUUACAUUUUUGUGCAAAAAAAAAAAAAACACUACCCUCUGUUGGGAUUUCCUCCGAUAGGCAAGCAAAUGAAAGAGCAGGGGAUUAUCCCCUCUUUAUAAAUAUUAUCCUUACAGCCGCAGUCAGGUAGAAGGCCCAGGACCGUGGCGUUGUGGGUUGGACCUCCAACAGUACGCGCAACAUCUGUGAAAGAUAUUCCUGGGCAAUGCGGCGUGAAAGAGUGAAACGAUGCUGCAAUUAUCAUGUCAAGCGCCGUAAUCUACUGUAAUCGAAUCAGCGUGCGCCAGAGAAGGGGGUCAAAAGCCGAACGUGCGAAGAAAUAACCGUUUGUUUUGGAUCGGAUUGAUAAUCCACCUGACAUCAAUUAGCCUAAUUGGGUUUAUAUAAACCGCAGGGCCGGGUCGUGUUUCACGCUCCUCCGAGCCCCUGCGUUUGAUGUGGGGUCUCCCAGGUAGGUACCCAGGGUCCUGGAGAGGUUCGGCAGCCCUCGUCCCGCUGGGUGAUAAUGCCCUGCUACGCGUUGCCCGAAGGCCCAAGACCAGCGCGCGUCAAAAAACUCCGCCUAAAAAAUACUGGACAUCACUCUGAGAGGCCAGAAGUAAACAAACAUCCCACACCCCUGGCAGCUCCCCCAUCCGCAACACAGCAGAUAUAGGUGAGUAACAAUUCAUCAUGGCAAACGAGGUCCUUACAAUUUUAACGCUCUGAACUCUUUCUGUUCUACAACACCGAUCAUAA